ACUUGACCUCAAAUCGAG
rnacentral:rRNA from 5 species